rnacentral:rRNA from 1 species
CUACGGGUUGCAGCAGUGGGGAAUAUUGGACAAUGGGCGCAAGCCUGAUCCAGCAAUGCCGCGUGAGUGAAGACGGCCUUAGGGUUGUAAAACUCUUUCGCUAGGGAAGAUAAUGACUGUACCUAGUAAAGAAGUCCCGGCUAACUCCGUGCCAGCAGCCGCGGUAAUACGGAGGGGACUAGCGUUGUUCGGAAUUACUGGGCGUAAAGAGUUCGUAGGCGGACUGACAAGUUAGAGGUGAAAUCCCAGGGCUCAACCCUGGAACUGCCUUUAAAACUGUCAGUCUAGAGACCGGAAGAGGUUAGGGGAAUACCUAGUGUAGAGAUGAAAUUCGUAGAUAUUAGGUGGAACACCAGUGGCGAAGGCGCCUAACUGGUCCGGUACUGACGCUGAGGAACGAAAGCGUGGGGAGCAAACAGGAUUAGAUACCCCAGUAGUC